AAUCUCCUUCUUGAUGAGACGGGGCACCAUUGAUCAUGAUGUCCAGAGAUGGUUAAUGGGGCCAAACUGGGGCACAGGUAUGCUUCCAUCACAGAAAAUGGGUUGCAGGGGUGACAGUGAGACCUGUAACGUUU